GAUGAACGCUGGCGGCGUGCCUAAUACAUGCAAGUCGAGCGAACAGACGAGGAGCUUGCUCCUCUGACGUUAGCGGCGGACGGGUGAGUAACACGUGGAUAACCUACCUAUAAGACUGGGAUAACUUCGGGAAACCGGAGCUAAUACCGGAUAAUAUAUUGAACCGCAUGGUUCAAUAGUGAAAGACGGUUUUGCUGUCACUUAUAGAUGGAUCCGCGCCGCAUUAGCUAGUUGGUAAGGUAACGGCUUACCAAGGCUACGAUGCAUAGCCGACCUGAGAGGGUGAUCGGACACACUGGAACUGAGACACGGUCCAGACUCCUACGGGAGGCAGCAGUAGGGAAUCUUCCGCAAUGGGCGAAAGCCUGACGGAGCAACGCCGCGUGAGUGAUGAAGGUCUUCGGAUCGUAAAACUCUGUUAUUAGGGAAGAACAAAUGUGUAAGUAACUAUGCACGUCUUGACGGUACCUAAUCAGAAAGCCACGGCUAACUACGUG
rnacentral:rRNA from 1 species